AAUCAACGCUGGCGGCGUGCCUAACACAUGCAAGUCGAACGCGAAAGUCCCGCAAGGGAUGAGUAGAGUGGCAAACGGGUGAGUAACACGUGGGUGACCUGCCUUCGAGCGGGGGAUAACGUCCCGAAAGGGACGCUAAUACCGCAUGACAUCCUGCCUUUGAAGAGGUGGAGAUCAAAGCUGGGGAUCGCAAGACCUAGCACUUGAAGGACGGGGCCCGCGUCNGAUUAGCUAGUUGGUGGGGUAACGGCUCACCAAGGCAACGAUCAGUAUCCGGCCUGAGAGGGCGGACGGACACACUGGGACUGAGACACGGCCCAGACUCCUACGGGAGGCAGCAGUGGGGAAUUGUUCGCAAUGGGCGCAAGCCUGACGACGCAACGCCGCGUGGAGGAUGAAGACC
rnacentral:rRNA from 1 species